UAUGGCUAUCAAAAGUCUUACGUCAAAUCUUAUUUGAUUAGGUAAGAUUUAUAGGUGAUUAUAUAUCGGAUAGAUAUAAUGAUGCUACUAAAAAUUCCUGAAGCAUAAGUGAGGAGAAAGCGGAGGAUUAAAGCUAAAAAGAUCAUAAAAAUUCUCCAAAUUAAUAUGGAUAAAGACAAUUAUCAAUAUAUUCAAAAUUUAGAAGAGUCGAAGAGCAUGUGGAUUAUUCCUGUAGCUACUCAAAGUUUAAUAAGGCAUGGCUUCAAUUUUUGGAGAAUGAGAUUGAUAUCUAAAACAAAGUAAUUUUACAAUUUUUGAAUAUUUUAUUAAAAAAGCAAGUGAUUGUUGAGCUUGGCAUUCUUGAUAAAAAUUCUUGCCGUCAUCAAAUUAAAUGGUAUAGACUGUUAAUUCAUGGUUUGAAUGGAAAGCAUCAGUGCGUAUAUACUUGCUAUUUCUGCAUGGGCUAAAUAACCUAUAUUUGCAAAACAGAAACCUUUAUAGGAAAACACCUUAUUUUUUAUAGUAGAAAUAAAAAUAAAAAGAUAAAUAACGAAAUUAAAAUUUUGAAGAAAAAACUAGUUGAAGAAUCAUACAAUGGAAAAAAUCAAAUUAAAAAAAAUACAAAUUUAAGGAGAAUUAUCAUGGAUGUGAAAAAUUUGGUCAUAAAAUU
rnacentral:lncRNA from 1 species